UACGUAGGGUGCAAGCGUUAAUCGGAAUUACUGGGCGUAAAGCGUGCGCAGGCGGUUUGGUAAGACAGAUGUGAAAUCCCCGGGCUCAACCUGGGAAUUGCAUUUGUGACUGCCCGACUAGAGUGUGUCAGAGGGGGGGUAGAAUUCCACGUGUAGCAGUGAAAUGCGUAGAGAUGUGGAGGAAUACCGAUGGCGAAGGCAGCCCCCCUGGGAUAACACUGACGCUCAUGCACGAAAGCGUGGGGAGCAAACAGG
rnacentral:rRNA from 1 species